rnacentral:rRNA from 1 species
UACGUAGGGUGCAAGCGUUGUCCGGAAUUAUUGGGCGUAAAGGGCUCGUAGGCGGUCCAUCGCGUCGGGGAGUGAAAAGCUGGGGCUUAACCCCAGUCCUGCUUCCGAUACGGGUGGACUAGAGGUAGGUAGGGGAGAUCGGAAUUCCUGGUGUAGCGGUGAAAUGCGCAGAUAUCAGGAGGAACACCGGUGGCGAAGGCGGAUCUCUGGGCCUUACCUGACGCUGAGGAGCGAAAGCAUGGGGAGCAAACAGG